rnacentral:rRNA from 1 species
UACGAAGGGUGCAAGCGUUAUUCGGAAUUACUGGGCGUAAAGCGUGCGUAGGCGGUUUGUUAAGUCCGUUGUGAAAGCCCUGGGCUCAACCUGGGAAUUGCAGUGGAUACUGGCGAGCUAGAGUGCGGUAGAGGAUGGUGGAAUUCCCGGUGUAGCGGUGAAAUGCGUAGAGAUCGGGAGGAACACCCGUGGCGAAGGCGGCCAUCUGGACCAGAACUGACGCUGAGGCACGAAAGCGUGGGGAGCAAACAGG